CCAAAGAACUGACCCGACCCCACCUCGUUUUUUUCUUCCUCGCGUGACCAGACGCGAAACCCAGAAGCAUACAGCUCCCAGCAAUUGGAUCAAGCAGUAGCAAAUCAGUACUGCUCCAGCAGUACUGUUCCAGUGCCGUUUCCAGCCAAGAACCGUACUUGCAGUUGCGGGAUCACGCCACGUAGCUUGCCAAGGACGUUGGAAUUGAUCCCAACCGUCAUACCCCCUUUCCUCUUCCGGAAUGAGUCGAAUUUCAGAGGAAAAAGAUGUUUAUCCCAAAUGGUGCAAGAAAUUUAUGGUGUUUGAAUUUCGAAUGCACUCGUUUCCCCCCAGAUUUCGAACCCUAAAUUUCCUCUAUAUAAAGCUCUCUUCUUCUCAUUUUUAAGGGCAGCCGCAACUCACAUAUAGAAGGGAUAGCUUACAAAGGGUUCAACAUGAAAUAAGGAUAGAGGAUACACACGAAAUACAUUCGAAUAGAGAAGAGGCUGGCUCUAUUUUUGGGUUCGUUCCUCUGCUCAUUCAUAGGAGUUCUUGAAGUUUCACGUUGUGUGGUGGAGUAGUGCGAUUCGGCUCGUCACUGUUCCAGUUCGUUGCCCAGAAAAGGUAACAACCUUGUCUCUAUCUCGUUUUCGUUUCAUUUCUCUCCUCUCGACUUUAUGUUCCUUGAAGGUUCAUGUCACUUAGACUAUGCUUGAUUAUGGGCUGAAUGACGACAGUCCUCCCUUUAAUUGCUAGAUAUAUUCAUGUUAUCAGGUUCGGGUUUAAUUUAAUGUGUUGUUUUCUAUGAGGAGUAUAUUGAAUGCUCAUCAUAUUCUCUGUUUUUGUUUUGUUUUCUUUCUUGAAAAUAUGGGUUGUUCAACUUGUUUUCUUUAUGUAUCACCCUUCCUUUCUCUACAAACUUGAUUAUAGUUUCUAACGAUAUUUGAGUGGUCAGUUUUGUUAGUCCCAUUACUGAUUUUAUUUGCGCAAGAGUGUGACUAGUGCUAGUUUUAAGUAGUCAUGUUGUUCUACAUGUUAACAACUGAUUGUGUUGCCUAUCAUUGCCUACACUCUAUCUUCUUGUUCGAUUAUCGCAAAUAUGAUUUGGGAGGUGUGAUUAUAGCUUUGAUAAGGUGUGUUGUUUGAUAUUAAGGUUUCAUGUUAGCUCUUAAUAUCCUGUUUUUGCUCUUUCUUUGUGAAACUAAAAUUGACCUUUUGUGUUUAGUAUAGCUACGUGAUUUUCCUUAAUGCAAUCUAGUUAUUUUGAGCGAUUUUUGUUUUCAAAAUUCUCUGUCCAGCUUCUCCAUUUCAUAUAGUGCGAAUGAGUUCGAAAAUGUUUGAUUAAAGUGUUCUUAGCGUGAUUUUUUCAGAUUUUGUGGGUUUGGUCAUUGCAUUCUUUGAAAGGGCUUAAAGUCGGUAAUAAGGCUGUCCACAACAUUAGUAUUUUAGGUUAUAUUUUAGGAUCGUAUCUUUGGUUUGAAUUUAAAUCGAGGCCGCUCUCUCUGUCUUGCUAUAUUUGUUCGGUUUCGGCAUCUCAAAGUGGUGUUGACAUCCAUGGUCAUUCUUUUGGCCUAGAAUUCUAGUUUUAAGUUAAUGAUAUGAGUUUAAUUCGGUUUGAAAUGGUUGUUCAAUUCGGUUAAAACGGUUGUUUAGCUUUAGUGUUUUGCCUAGUUUUUGUGCUAUUGUUCAACAAUGUCAUCCUCCAAGGAUAUUCUUUUUUUGUCUAUCCGUAUUCACAAUUGCUUUAUAUUUCAUCAUCAUGUGUUCCUCCUGUUAGCUUAGCUUUUUUUUUUAUAAUUAUAAUAAUAAUAAUAGGAUUUCUGGAAGCAUAUAGUGUGCAUUGACCAAUGCUUCUUAUCUAUUUAUUGCUUAUAGCCCAUCGUGUCACCACUUCCUCUAUUCUGUUACUUCAUACUUUGAUUAAAUGUUAUAAUUCAAUUACAUGUUUUAUUUCUAUUUAAAUGUUGUAUGCUGCCAGGUAUUUCAUUCUAAUUUUAUCUUCUUUUCUCGCAUGUGAAAACUCCUCCAAAUCCUUAUGGAUUACAUGUCUUCUCCUCGCAUUUUCCUAUUGGGCCUUUAUGGCCCAAUACUCUUGUUCAUCGAGUCAGCCAGCAAGAAACUAAAAUACAGGUUGAAGAUGGAUGAGCAUGCUGAAAAUUAAAUUUUCAAGCUCCGAAAGGGUCAAAAACAGGCUGAUAUACCUGCUGUAUAUACCGAUAUACGGUCAGAAAAUAUCAUAUACAGGGCAAAAACGUGAAAAAAUAAAGGUGAAAAAUGUGAAAAUACCGAGUUAAGACAAAAAUACAGGUUCGGAAGUUCGAGACUUAGCGGUAUACAUGAUGUAUACCUCGAAUAUACACUUGGUGUAUGUCAUGACCAAUGAAGAUGGAAAGAGGGCCAAAAGCCCAAUGAAUUUUUUUAUUUUUUUUUGCAGAUUUGGGAAUUUGGGCCAAAGGCCCAAAUUUGAUAUUCCUUUCCUUGCUCUUAUUUGUUUUAUUGUAUUUGACUAACACAUUUAUUUGAUCUUUGGUUUAACUUAAUUAAUUUCCCGAA
rnacentral:lncRNA from 1 species